rnacentral:rRNA from 1 species
GUAGGUGGCAAGCGUUGUCCGGAAUUAUUGGGCGUAAAGCGCGCGCAGGCGGUUCCUUAAGUCUGAUGUGAAAGCCCACGGGCUCAACCGUGGAGGGUCAUUGGAAACUGGAGAACUUGAGUACAGAAGAGGAAAGCGGAAUUCCACGUGUAGCGGUGAAAUGCGUAGAGAUGUGGAGGAACACCAGUGGCGAAGGCGGCUUUCUGGUCUGUAACUGACGCUGAGGCGCGAAAGCGUGGGGAGCAAACAGGAUUAGAUACCCUGGUAGUCCACGCCGUAAACGAUGAGUGCUAAGUGUUAGGGGGUUUCCGCCCCUUAGUGCUGCAGCUAACGCAUUAAGCACUCCGCCUGGGGAGUACGGCCGCAAAGGCUG